GUUGGUUUGUGCAAGUUGUGCCUGCUUCUCUGCCCAGGCACAGAUGAGCAUCUGUGCAUUUAAUAUUGUGUUCCUUUUCCAGUGCUUCCUCUGACUGUCCCUGCAGAUCAUACUAAAGAAAUAGUCAAAGAAAUUCUCUCUCUAACUGAUUCAUCCAACUCCAAUACCACGGAUUCCUGGAUAUGGUCAAACCAGCACAGAGAUAAUUUUUCAUGGGCUUUAUGAGGAUUGCAUUUGCCACAGAAGAUCUGAAGCCCAUUAAGCCCUGAUGGGGACCAAUACCUUUCAUUUUGUACAGAGAGGAAAAAUGUGCUGAGCCCAGGAGCUCAAGUGAGGCAGGAGCUGUGCCCGUGGUGUGGGAGAUGCCGAUCAAUAGGGCAUGAUUGAGUGCUCCAUUAUAACCUUACACCGAAACCUGGUUCCCGUAACAGCUGCUGGAGUUUAAAAGCCAUCUGUAAACUUCAGCAGGAGCUAACCAGUGCCCAGAACAACACUGGGCUGCAAUUCCAUCAGUGGCACCCUGCCAGCAUCUGCACUUUGUCUGGGUGAGCCAAACAAACAUCGCAACAAACACAUUUUCAAGGGAAUAGCUUCACCAGACUGGCUCUCAGAACCUACAGCUUCAAUGUUUUAAGAAAAAUACAACAUAAAAACAGACACAAAACUGACCUGUUGGUUCCCACCAAGAGAAGAGUCUCUUGUUUUCGUUCUGAGCUGCAAACUCGAAGAAAGAAGCCUGGAAGGUUGUUUCUAAAAUGGCUGAGCAGGUUCAAACAAGACAAGAACCCUCAACAGAGUGAAGAGGUGCCCAUGAAGAACUUUCAUGAACGUUACAUAAAACACGAGGCUCUUUAAGUAGUUGCUUUUCAUCCAAAGUUCUUUGAUAAAUUAAUAAGGCAUUUAACAAGCCAUUAAUGAAGCAGGAAGUCUUUUAGGCAAAGAGAAUAUUAACUUCAAGUGGGAAAAACUGUGAAAACGAUUCAGGAAAGUGAAGCCACCGGAGUGAGCAGACCAGAGAUUCAUCCGGAUGAUCACGUAUCUUGCUACAGUUCCUCAGGUCUGACUACAAGCAAUGAAAGGUUCAGUAAAUCCUAUCCGUCCUGCUGCCCCAUCCUGAGAGACACACACCCAAUCCCACCGGGUUUAUCACAAGGCAGAGGAAUCAUCAGGCCGAGCUGGGACUCUGGGCUGCCUUCCCCAUUUCCUUCUGACUCCUUCAAGUACCUUGGCUGGUGUGACAUAGAGGAACACGAUGUUCGAGGAAAUCAGCUCCGCUGUCCCCGAGUGAGAGAAGGGCCCCCAGAAGAAGAGCUGUUUUUCAGAAGAGAAGAACAUACUUUGAAAAAAAGAAAACAAGUAACUGACACAGAGAAAUGGGAGAAGAGGCUGCAAGAGAACUGGGAAAACUGUGCUGUAAAACUUUCUCAUUAACAUUUUGUACUCUGGUUGUAAACAAGCCAAAUAAUAAGGUGUUGGCUGCUCCCUGCAGUGAGCAGGUUUAAAGCUCAGGAGCUGAACCUUUCAUUCCAGGACCUGGGUGAUGUUUAUCAGGUGGAAAACUUCAAGAGGAUUCUCCGAAGAUUAAUUCGGGUGGAAAAGCUUUGGUUGGUGGACAAUUCUUUGACAGACCUCAGUGCCAUAAGGUUGCCAAGAUGCAGAGAAUUAAAUGUCAAUAAAAACCACUUUAGAUCCUUCAAACAGCUGCCAAAGAUCCCUCAGAUUCAGCACUUAUCUCUGGCUGAAAACAACAUUAUGACACUAAGUGGAAUAUCAGAUUUCAGACACACUCCGCUCGAAUCCCUCAUUCUCAAGAGGAAUCCCUGUGAGUUCCAAGAAAAAUACAGACAACUUGUAUUCUCCAGUUUGCCAAAUCUGAAAAUGCUGGAUGGGAUCCCAAAACUGCCAGAGGACUGUUCACCCCCAGACAUCAGGUUUUUUUACAAAAUGUGUACUAUACUCUAGCACUGUAUUUUUGGGGGAUCACAACUGUGCUACAACCACCUCGCUGAAAACAGACAAUAAAUCCUGCUUAUGGAAGUUACUAAAUUUUUUUUCUAACCAAAGAGAUAUUGAAGCAGAAAUAUAACAGUUUUGAAUGCAUUUGUGAUACCACAGGCUUCAAGUAAGUAUGGAUAUGGAUAUGUAAAUAACACAUAAUGUCUAUACCGAGUGUCAUGAGUUCAAUGUAUUAAAACUAUUGGGUGA